rfam:Triticum aestivum genome assembly, contig: Triticum_aestivum_CS42_TGACv1_scaffold_622977_7DS
UAAAUACUCCCUUUGUCCCGAAAUACUUGUCGGAUAGAUGAAUAAAAUUGGAUGCAUCUAUCUAUAACUAAAAUAUAUCUAGAUUCAUCCAUUUUUUUGACAAGUAUUUUUGGACGGAGAGAGUAUAAG